rnacentral:rRNA from 1 species
GACGGAGGGGGCUAGCGUUGUUCGGAAUGACUGGGCGUAAAGGGCGCGUAGGCGGUUUUUUAAGUGAGGCGUGAAAGCCCUGGGCUUAACCUAGGAGGUGCGUUUCAUACUGGAAGACUUGAGUACGAGAGAGGAAAGCGGAAUUCCUAGUGUAGAGGUGAAAUUCGUAGAUAUUAGGAAGAACACCAGUGGCGAAGGCGGCUUUCUGGCUCGUAACUGACGCUGAGGCGCGAAAGCGUGGGGAGCAAACAGG